ensembl:lncRNA
CUCGACCAGGAAGCCUACACAAGCCACUGAACCAACUUUACCAGCUGAGGGCAGACAACAAAAACAACGGGAACUAUGAACCUACAGCCUGCGAAAAGGAGACACCAAACACAGUAAGCUAAGCAAAAUGAGAAGACAGAGAAAUAUGCAACAGAUGAAGGAGCAAGGUAAAAACCCACCAGACCCAACAAAUGAAGAGGAAAUAGGCAGUCUACCUGAAAAAGAAUUCAGAGUAAUGACAGUAAAGAUGAUCCAAAAUCUUGGAAAUAGAAUGGAGAAAAUACAAGAAAUGUUUAACAAGGACCUAGAAGAACUCAAGAGCAAACAAACAAUGAUGAACAACACAAUCAAUGAAAUUAAAAAUUCUCUACAAGGAAUCAAUAGCAGAAUAACUGAGGCAGAAGAAUGGAUAAGUGAUCUGGAAGAUAAAAUAGUGUAAAUAACUACUGCAGAGCAGAAUAAAGAAAAAAGAAUGAAAAGAAUUGAGGACAGUCUCAGAGACCUUAGCAACAACAUUAAACAUACCAACAUUCGAAUUAUAGGGAGUUCCAGAAGAAGAAGAGAAAAAGAAAGGGUCUGAAACAAUAUUUGAAGAGAUUAUAGUAGAAAACUUACCUAACAUGGGAAAGGAAAUAGUCAAGUCCAGGAAGGGCAGAGAGUCCCAUACAAGAUAAAUAGGAGAAACAUGCCAAGACAAUUAUUAAUCAAACUAUCAAAAAUUAAAUGCAAAGAACAGAUAUUAAAAGCAGCAAGGGAAAAUCAACAAAUAACAUAUAAGGGAAUCCCCAUAAGGUUAACAGCUGAUCUUUCAGCGAAACUCUGCAAGCCAGAAGGGAGUGGCAGGACAUAUUUAAAGUGAUGAAAGGGAAAAACCUACAACCACUAUUACUCUACCCAGCAAGGAUCUCAUUCAGAUUCGACACAGAAAUUAAAACCUUUACAGACAAGUAAAAGUUAAGAGAAUUCAGCACCACCAAACCAGCUUUACAACAAAUGCUAAAGGAAUGUUUCUAGCCAGGAAACACAAGAGAAGGAAAACACCUACGAAAACAAACCCAAAACAAUUAAGAAAACAGUAAUAGGAACAUACAAAUCGAUAAUUACCUUAAAUGUAAAUGGAUUAACGGCUCCACCCAAAAGACACAGACUGGCUGAAAGGAUACAAAGACAAGACCCCUAUAUAUGUAGUCUACAAGAGACCCACUUCAGACCUAGGGAAACAUACAGACUGAAAGUGAGGGGAUGGUAGAAGAUAUUCCAUGCAAAUGGAAAUCAAAAGAAAGCUGGAGUAGCAAUACUCAUAUCAGACAAAAUAGACUUUAAAAUAAAGACUAUUAAAAGAGACAAAGAAGACAUAAUGAUAAAGGGAUCAAUCAAAGAAGAUAUAACAAUUGUAAAUAUUUGUGCACCCAACACAGGAGCACCUCAAUACAUAAGGCAAAUACUAAAAGCCAUAAAAGGGGAAAUUGACAGUAACACAAUCAUAGUAGGAGACUUCAACACCCCACUUUCACCAAUGGACAGAUCAUCCAAAAUGAAAAUAAAUAAGGAAACACAAGCUUUAAAUGACACAUAAGACCAGAGGGACUUAAUUGAUAUUUAUAGGGCAUUCCAUCCAAAAAUAACAGAAUACACUUUCUUCUCAAGUGCUCAUGGAACAUUCUCCAGGAUAGAUCAUAUCUUGGGUCACAAAUCAAGCCUUGGUAAAUUUAAGAAAACAGAAAUCAUAUCAAGUAUUUUCUCGACCAAAGUACUGUCAGACUAGAUAUCAAUUACAGGAAAAAAACCUGUAAAAAUACAAACACAUGGAGGCUAAACAAUACGCUACUAAAUAACCAAGAGAUCACUGAAGAAAUCAAAGAGGAAGCCAAAAAAUACGUAGAAACAAAGGACAAUGAAAACACGAAGACGCAAAACCCGUGGGAUGCAGGGAAAGCAAUUCUAAGAGAGAAGUUUAUAGCAAUACAAUCCUACUUUAAGAAACAAGAAAAUCUCAAAUAAACAACCUAACCUUACACCUAAAGCAAUUAGAGAAAGAAGAACAAAAAUCCCCCAAAGUUAGCAGAAGGAAAGAAAUCAUAAAGAUCAGAU